UCCAAAUAAUAAAAUUAUAUGAAUAUUCCAUAACGUUAUUAGAAAACAAAUCAAUAAAAACGAUUCGCAAAAUUCCAUGGAAAUUGUAAUGCGACACAAGGCCGUCUGAUGUUCUACUUUAAGUUGUCAACGCCAAAGGCUGGUUUAAAGUGGCGACAACCUUUAUAGUCGCCACCCCCAACUGGCUCCCACAUUUUUGAGGGCAAUUCACUCUACCUGCGGGGUAAUUUGAAACAGGAACAGGAAGGGUGAAUAAAUUGGUUUCUGUCGCAUAAAGCCAUUACUUGGCAGCCAGCACAAAGGACCUACAACAACAGUACAGUCGCUGUAAAAGAGGCAAAAACAAAAGCAACAACAACAACAACAACAGCAAGAGCACCAAGGACAACGUUAUUGCUGCUGCUGCUGCUUUGGUGCCAACAACAGAUCAAAGGGUUUUAUUGUGGCCCUUGCCGUUGCCAGCGUACAAUUGGACUUUUGAUUUUUAAAACGCGUCAGUGUUGCCGAACGAAUAAUAAUUUAAUUGAUUUACAACCCUCUGAAUAUAUGCAAAAUCAAAAGAGUGGCGUUUGUAAUAGGAAAAGUAUUCAAAGGAAAAGUAUUGCUGGAUUAAAUGCAUGAAGAGUGAGCUAAACUGUGUAGUAUUAAGCGGAGACUAAUAACAAUAAAUGUCGAAAUAUAAGUCAAAAUAAUAUUUUGUAUAUAGGAAAUAAACAAA